UACAGAGACUGCAAGCGUUAUUCGGAGUUCACUGGGCGUAAAGGGCGCGUAGGCGGGAUGGCAAGUCAGUCGUGAAAUCUCUCGGCUCAACCGAGAAACGUCGGCUGAUACUGCCGGUUCUUGAGGGAUGCAGAGGAGACUGGAAUUCCCGGUGUAGCGGUGAAAUGUGUAGAGAUCGGAGAAUACCGGUGGCGAAGGCGGCAUCCUGGACCGGCAUGACGCGUGAGGAGCGAAAGCUAGGGAGCAACGGG
rnacentral:rRNA from 1 species